rfam:Ailuropoda melanoleuca scaffold1463_159, whole genome shotgun sequence.
GCCUGGCUGGCUCAAUCGGAAGGGCAUGAGACUCUUGAUCUCGGGGUCGUGAGUUUGAUCCCCACGUUGGGUG